rnacentral:lncRNA from 1 species
GCGAGGGCCGGGCUGGCGGGUACGGUGCUGAGGGCACUUCCCUUCCACCGCCGCCCCGGUGCCGUCCCUGCGCCGAGAGGGCUCGUGGGCGACGCUGGAGGCAGCUGGCCCCGAGCAGGAAUGUCAUGCUUUUAAACAAGAGAUAAACCUGCUGAAUAGCCAGAGCUAGACCCAGCAAAGGACUAAUGGAGGUGUGCACCAAAAUGGGUUGAGUGCACAGCUGCCUUAUUCCACUUUUAGUUGUUCUUGCACUGUCUUCAGUUUUGCUUCAGAGUGCGCUACAUAUCUAAAUGGGUUUGUUAAGUUGGCAAAGAACAGACAACCUCUGGUGGAAUUUCUGUUUUCUGUUUUCAACCAGUGCUGGCUGAGCUGAAACU